rnacentral:tRNA from 1 species
GGGGAGUUAGCUCAGUGGUGGAGUGCCAGCCUCACAUGCAGGAAGUCUUGGGUUCCAUCCCCAGCACUGCAUA